CGGCGGCGGCGGCAGCGGCGGCAGCGGGCGGGCGGGCGCCUCCCCCCAGGCCUGGGGCGGCGGAGGCUACAGAAGGAGGAGGCGGCGGCCGCGGAGAAUGGCGGCGGCGGCGGGCGCUGGUGGCGGAGGCAGCAGCAGCGGCGGCGACAGCGGGAGCAGCAGCGGAGGCGGAGGCGGCGGCGCUCUUGGUCCCAGUCCCAGUCGAGGAGGAGGCGGUGCCGAGGCCCGGGGAGGGGACAGCGGCCUCACCUAGCGGCGGCCCCGGCGGCUCCUGGGCGCGGCGGCUCCGGCCCACCUGAGGCUCCGGCCCCGGCCCGGCGCGGCUAUGGGCGCCAAGCAGAGCGCCGCCGCCAACGGCCGUGCCCGCGCCUACUCGGGCUCUGACCUGCCCUCGGCCGGCGGCGCGGUGCGGGCCCGCGCGCCCGCGCCCCCGGCCCCCGGGUCGGCCGCCUCGGGCUCGGCCGCCGCCCCCGCCCCGGCCCCGGCUCCGGCCGCCUCGGGCCCGGCCGCGGGACCCCGGGGGGGCGCCCGAUCCGUGGGCGGCGGCGGCGGGGGCAGCGGUGGAGGAGGAGGAGGAGGUGGCGGCGGGGCCCGGGCGGCGCAGUCCGCCUUCCACAUCCCCAGCAGUAGCAGCAGCAGCGGCCCGUACGGCUCGCAGGACUCGGUGAACAGCACCCCCGACGAGGGCCGCUCGGCCGCCGGCGGGCCCCGCCUCGUGAUCGGCUCUCUACCGGCGCACCUCUCCCCGCACAUGUUCGGAGGUUUCAAGUGCCCGGUGUGCUCCAAGUUUGUACCUUCAGAUGAAAUGGACUUACAUCUCGUGAUGUGUUUAACAAAGCCAAGGAUAACCUAUAAUGAGGACGUGCUAAGUAAAGAUGCUGGAGAGUGUGCCAUAUGCCUGGAAGAGCUGCAGCAAGGAGACACGAUCGCGCGGCUGCCCUGCCUAUGCAUCUAUCAUAAAGGCUGCAUAGACGAGUGGUUUGAAGUCAAUAGGUCUUGCCCUGAGCACCCUUCAGAUUAAGCGUCUGAUUCCUGUUUUAUGACCUGUCCCUCACUUACGGAAGGAAGUUACACGGCUACAGUUGUCCACUCCCACCACCCACUGUCCUGGGCAGUUCUAUACAAUGCGAGGCUUGGUUAGUGGUGGAAAAAUGUUUGGAAAACGUCAUAUGAGGACCCGUCUCUGGGAACAAACAUAUGCAGCCAGAAACCCGGAGUUCUAUGGGACUGGAUCACAACAGAGAUGGACAAUCAAAGGGGUGAGGCGUACAUGAGAGAGGACCUUCCUCAGCAGAGCUCAGCGCACAGAUGUGCACAGAAACACCGCAGGGAUCUGGAAAAUGCUGCACAUCCCUCCGGUGUGUCAUCGUCAUUCACCCAUAGUUCCUGUUGGUAACAUUUUGUACUCAGACGCCAAAGUUAGCGAAUUUCAUAGUGGAUUUACUUCUCAAGUUCCCUAGAGCUGUGAAUGGAUUUGGGGGUUUGGGGUUUUUCUCUUUUACUCCCAACUUGGAAGGUUUUGCAUUCUCAGAUUCUAAAGUAAAGAUGACCUCAGGCUCUCUUCUUGUGGAUUAACACCUCACCAACCAAACUAGGCAUGGAGCAGCAGUAAAACCUUUUUCUCUGAAUGCAGACGUGAUCUCAAGUUCUUCCAGACAUCUCCAAAGGAAGAGUGAUGAGCAGAACGCAGCCCAAAGAGUCCAGUGAAGUCCGGGACCGAUUCCCGCAGACCUGCUCAAUCUGGAUGGCCCCUUCCUCGCUGGGGGAGAAACCCCCGCCUGGCAGUGUGGCGGCAGCCCACGCAGCUAUGCAACUUCCUAAGGAAGGACCAGUUUUAAGUGCUGCCGGCAAUGGGAAUUUCUUUUAACGGGUAUUUUUGUUUUUUCAGGUAAUUCUUUUUCUGUACUUUCAUCUCCAGGCUGCCUCUCCAAGUGGGGGCAAAAUAUGAAAACUUAAGAAUAACUGCUGAAGUGGGGAGAAAAGUUUUCCAAGUUCCUAAAAUUAAGUUUGGAUGGAGCUCAGAAUAAUUUGCGGAACAUUUUAUAUAGAUUUUUUUUUAAAAAAAAAUCAGAAUUUAAUUUGCAUGGCAGAUUCAUAGCAAUUUGCAUCUUUCAUUUUCCAGAUAAUCUGGAGAUUAGCAUUUGAUAAUUUUUUAAACAGGUAUGGAGAUUUUGUUAAUUUAUAAUUUAUUAAUGUAUUGUUACUGUGCUGCAUAUGUGUUAAUUUACAGAGGCUAUUAAACAGUCCUGUAGGGGAAAUGUACUGAGGAAAUUAUGUGAAUAAAUAAAUAAUAGUUCCCACAAAACACAUCUGAAUGGUUUAAACUUGGAAGAGAAGUCAGGGCUAUUUAAGUGAAUGUCUUUUUAUAUCAAUACAAGUAGCUUCUGCAUUUUCAACAUAAAGGGAAAAUGUUAUCAGUGAAGAUUCUGCAGUGUAGUUGAUGGCCCUCAGAAGGAAGCUGUCCUGGGCUCAUUUCUGAGCAGAUGAAUUCUUUCCUUUUCUUCCUUGCUGUUGCCUGGGCUCUCAAUGUCCCGUGUUCUCCCCCUCCCCCUUCUUUUCCCUCUCACUCCCCUCCUGUUCCAUGUUAAGAAGGGCAAGAACCGCUGCCACUGAGCACCCCCCCCAGGCCCCACCCCUAUCAUGGCUUGCUGGGAGAGCCUAGACUCAGAUAACAUUUUCCCUGAGACUCUGCUGUGAAAUGCCUUUUGUGAUGCUGCACAUGAUCAGAGAAUCCAAAAUCACUCGUGUAACAACUGACCACAUGGUGUCCUGGUGCUUCUGAACCAACUAAGGAAAAGAUGCUUCCCUCAAACUUUGGCUCUCAUCAUUAAAUCUCAGUCAGAUCUACUUGGUUGUUCUUAAUUUUGUAAAUUGUUCCCUCCAUAAAAUAAUAGCCGUUUAGAAUGUGAAUAAUGUGCUCCUUUAGCACUAUUGACAUCCUGUUGUGGGCAGAAUUAUUUGGGUUCCUUGCAGGAAAUGACAGUGAUUCAAGCUGGGAUGGCUUAGUGGCCAUGUUCUCCUAGAGGCUUCUUUUUUCAUUGUGAUUAUUUCUUUUUCGUUUUACUUUGACAGUAGGUGUCAAACCCACAUUGCCCCGAAUGUGCUCUUUGACUGCGUGCACACUGAAAUAACACGCACACUCGGUCCUACUGUCCUGAGUCUCCUUACCUCCUUACCCGCCUUGCUCCUCCAGGACCAAAGUGUUCAGCUGUGCUGGGGCAGAACCACAUUCAGAUGUCAUUGGGAAAGGUUACCAAAUUAAAAAUACAAUGUAACUUAGACAAUGUUAAUUUGUGGUUUUCUAAGUCAAUUAUGGAGCCAGAAGGGAUCCGUUUCUGUUGGCGUUUGGCACCACUGAUCUAGGACAGUUUCUACUGAAAUCUGUUGAGGACCAGCCUGUAAAACAAAACAAACCUAGAAACUACGAUUUUUACUUUAAAUUUAGAUUUCUGUCUUCCAUCACUUGACUUCCCAAAAUAUUAAUGUGCAGAUAUUUUUAAAAAUGACUCAAAUCUAAACUGUUCAGAAUUUUAAUUCCAAAUAGCUAAAACCCUGAGAAACAUCCCAGGGAAAUAUACUUGAAAUCUAUAAAUGACCUAGUGGUGCCAGGGUAGGAAAUCUUGUAUCUUAGAGAACUAGCUUUCUCCUCACCUGCCCUUCUGGCUAAAAGGAGAGAGAGCUGAAAGCCUGCAUGAACAAAAUGUCUCACCCUCUCCGCUUUGUAGGGGAAGGUCACCCGUGGGAAAACAAUAUGUUCUGUCAGGUUUCUGUGCUACAUUUGGUCCAAAGUGUGUUGGUUGCCAAUUUUUACCACACACACCCCCUCCCCAAUAUUUUUGCUGGGCCUAUCUCUUGCCUAAAUAUGUAAGAAAAAGUAAAUCUUUCUAAUACUCAGGUUUUGCCAUUAAAUGAGCUAUUUGCCAGGAGAGUAAAUAGAAUAUGCUCUAAUGGGCAUGUUUUUAAAAUCUGGGCACAAGCUCGAGCAUAGAUUGUGUUUUACAAAAAGCGAAUUCGUUUGAAAUAGGAAAGUGUUGCCUAUUCAGUUUCCUGUGAUAACUCAAACAAGUUCAAACCAGAGGCUGCUGGUGUUAUUAAUAGGAGACCUUAGACUAAAACAUGGAGGACCACUGAGGCCCUCUCCCUGGUGCAGAUGUCCAGCUGCCUUUGAGUUCCUUCAGUGAAAACACAAUUUUCCUUUUCACAAUGUUUCUAAAAUUGGUGAUGGGAACAUUUCAAACCAAUCAAAGUUCACAAAUUCUGUAAAUGUAGAGUAGACACAGGUUUAGGGAAAGCACAUUGUAAAUCUUAGUGCUUUAUGAAUGUGAAUGACUUCUUACUGUUUUUUAAAAGACUAAAUUCCAAAUAAAUAUCAUCUACACUUAUUGCCUACUAACCAAAAAGUGUGGAUUUUAUACCAACCACCUAGAUUAUAAAGCAAAGCUAUAUUGUAAACUCUCUGGGCUGUCAGAUGGAAUAAUUGAAUUUUACUGCUCACUGGCCUCCCCACUAGAUCGACAUUUUUAAGUCCAACUUCCGCAUCUAAGUAAAAUAAGCACAUGCUUAGAGUAAAUCCAAACAAAUGGCGGUGAUGUAAGUUGGGCUUGCUGGGUCUCAACCCCUCUUGGAGUUCAGUCUAAGACUUGGAAAUAAGGAGCCUUUUCUGUGACAAGGAUGGAAGACUCUAGUACCCGGCUGCAGGCCAAUUCUGAGGUUUCUGCUUUUCAAGUCAAGGAGGAAGAUCAGGCACCAGACCCCACGCCCCCUUUCCUGUAGUGUAUGACUACUGACUCAUGUUUUGCUCUGUGAAUAACAUUGAUUGAUUUUGGACUUGUUGAGUUUCCCCCCCUCAAUUUUCCUUCCUACCCUGCUAGGUUACUGCUUGCUAGUUUUUUGGAAGGGUCUUGCAAUCCAAAUCUCUCUUUGUUGUGGGCUUUGCCUGGUAACAGCAGGUUAGUUUGUGCUGCUCACACAAAACAAUUACCGCUUGAAGCUCUGAGCGAGCGUCCUUGCUCGGAGUGCUGCCUCGCCACGCGGUCUGUAUUGGACACAAAGAAUUACUGUAUUUAUUAGGAAAUGCUUCCUCCCCCAGCCAGCUUAGCUUGCUGAUAGCUCCUAACACUGAAGGCAGUCAGGUGCAUUAAUCUUUGGUUUGGUCGUUGGGAAUAAGUAACGUCAGUGCUCUAAAGCCAUCUGACCUCAACCAGUAGCCAUCACGAUAGGUCUCUGCUUGUAUACAGGAGAGGGAUUCCAGAAACAAGGGACCAGGCGGCAUCCGUGAGCUGAAACCCUGGCCGGCAGACCUUGCUGGUGAUGCCUACUGGCCCUGCCUGGGCUGCUGGGUGGCCCUCAGAUCCCUGGUGUGCAUGCGUAGGCCGUGAUGGACUUGGACUCCAGGAGGGACUGAAUCCCUCUGACCUGAUACCUGCUGGUGUUGCUUUCUAACUGUUGAGACUCUCAGAUCUUCCCUCUUAGUUUCUGAUCUGAGGAUAUAUUGCUAAGGUCCUGUGCUAAUGGUUUGUGUUGAGAAAAUUAGGCACCUCCUUGACACAUCUGGUCUGAUUAGCAGUCUAAAAUGAAGUUUUAUGAAUUAUGGCAGCCAUUAUAAUGCACAUUGUAUUAGGCCCUUAUUACCAACAAACCUCUAUCAGAUAUCUCCUGUGUCUUACUGCAGCCGUGCCAGGCCUUUAGGGUGAGGGCUCUGAGCUUGAACAGAGUUGCAUGAUACUUACUUAUAUUGGGUUUAGGAGAAUAAAUCGCACUUUCUUUCUUCAGAAAUAACUUGCCGUGGGUGUCAUAGUUUGAAAAUAAAGGAAGUGUGUGACCGCAACUUGGCUAACUUCUGUUGCUAAUUUUCCCCACCAUGUCCUUAUAGCUCCUCCUCCUAGAAUAAUACUGUUAAGUGAGCAUAAGCUUGCAAUCCUAAAAAGUAGAAAAAUUAAGUAGAAGCAACUUGUUAUCACUUGAGUUCAAACUGAAAUAGGACAUCCACCUUAGGUGUUUGAAUACCUUAUUCUUUUAGCUGAUUUUGCCAAAGUGUCAAAAUAUUUUAAGGUAGAAAGAGGAGAGAAGGCUUUCGAGGGAAUGUGUUUUUAAUUGUCCCUAAAUUGUGUUCCAAUACAGCAUUAACACAGAACUGAGGAAAGAAUUGGGACACUGAGCCCUUAGCGCUAAUGUUACGUGGUAACACGUGUAUCUGAUUUUGCACACUUACCCAAACAAAUGUCCUGACGAGUAUUAGAUGAAACUGUAAUCACUUAUGAAACGAUCGUCAUUUUAGUGGUGAUGACUAAUAGGUCUUCCCUCAUUACCUUAAAUUUAAACAAAAAUGUAAUGUUUGAAUUGUUGAACGUAGUGCCUGUUUCUAGAUUUUGUAACUGAAAGUAUGAUUGGAAGGCUAAAGAUUGUUGGGAUUUUUGACAGUCUGCCCGUGCACAAUCAUGAAUAUUUUUUGAUUUAGGUUGUAUGUUUAAUAACAUUCCAUUAUGUAAAGAAAAUGUAAUAAAUCUUUUGAAGCACAA